rnacentral:misc_RNA from 1 species
GAAAAAAUUUAUUGUUGAUCACCUCCGUACUCAGCCGUUCUCCGCCAUCACUCCACCACUCUACCUCACCAGCGGCCACUGCAUCACCGCCGUGAUAAACCAUGAAUUGAUACAAUUGCCCUCUUCCUUCUCAAAGCUAAAAGUUCCAUAAUCGCAUGGGCGCAUCAUUAUCCAACCUGACGGAAAACGGGUCAGCCAACGGCAGACCGGGACUCGGUGAUAUACCGGAAAACUGCGUGGCGUGUGUGUUUAUGUACCUAAAUCCACCUGAAAUUUGUAAUCUAGCUCGGCUUAAUCGUGCUUUUCGAGGUGCCGCUUCUUCUGAUGCUGUUUGGGAAUCUAAACUUCCCUCUAACUACCAUCUCUUGCUCGACCUUUUGCCUCCGCAAAAUUUCGACGGUCUCUCGAAGAAAGACAUAUUUGCUUUCCU